rnacentral:lncRNA from 1 species
CAUUGGAGUUUGCACUGAACUCUAUCAUCUCUCAGUUGGCUUCUCCCGAGUAAUGGUAAAGAUUCGGAAGGACAGAAAGAAGAGGAUUCAUGACCUGGCCACUUCUUUUGUACCUUGAGCAAAUGCACCUUUCUUUUGGAAAUAAAAAAAGUUUUCUUUAUUUCAUUUCUUUGCAUGAUCUUCUAUUCUGAUCCUUCGAUAGCAUAGGACGAAUGACUCUUCAGCACCCACCCUAUG